GGGACAGUAGUUAGGUUCAGUUGGGACAGUACUUAGCGACGGGACAGUAGUUAGGGGCAGUUACAGUAGUUUGCAGCAGUUAUGACAGUAGUUAGUGGCAGAUGGGACAGUAGUUACCGGCAGUAGGGACAGUUGGGACAGUAGUUAGGGACAGUUGGGACAAUAGUUAGUGGAAAUUGAGACAGUAGUUAGGGGCAGUUGGGACAGUAAUUAGGGCCCAUUGGGAUUGUAGUUGGGACAAUUGGGACAGUAGUUAAUGACAGUUGGGACAGUAGUUACGGGCAUUUGGGACAGUAGUUAGCGGCAGUUGAGACAGUAGUUAGGGGCAGUUGAGACAGUAGUUAGGGGCAUAUGGGAUAGUAGUUAGGGGCAGUUGGGACAGUAGUUAGCGACAGUUGGGACAGUUGUUAGGGGCAGUUGGGACAGUAGUUAUUGAAAGUUGGGACAGUAGUUAUGGGCAAUUGCAACAGUAGUUAGCAACAGUUAGGACAGUAGUUAGGUGCAG
ensembl:lncRNA